AUUGAACGCUGGCGGCAUGCUUUACACAUGCAAGUCGAACGGUAACAGGUUAAGCUGACGAGUGGCGAACGGGUGAGUAAUGCAUCGGAAUGUGCCCGAUCGUGGGGGAUAACGCAGCGAAAGCUGCGCUAAUACCGCAUACGAUCAGAGGAUGAAAGCGGGGGACCGUAAGGCCUCGCGCGAUCGGAGCGGCCGAAGUCAGAUUAGGUAGUUGGUGGGGUAAAGGCUCACCAAGCCAACGAUCUGUAGCUGGUCUGAGAGGACGACCAGCCACACUGGGACUGAGACACGGCCCAGACUCCUACGGGAGGCAGCAGUGGGGAAUUUUGGACAAUGGGCGAAAGCCUGAUCCAGCAAUGCCGCGUGCAGGAAGAAGGCCUUCGGGUUGUAAACUGCUUUUGUACGGAGCGAAAAGGUUCUCUCUAAUACAGAGGGCUCAUGACGGUACCGUAAGAAUAAGCACCGGCUAACUACGUGCCAGCAGCCGCGGUAA
rnacentral:rRNA from 1 species